GCCUCGCAACCUCUACGCAUCAUCCAACUUUCCUCUCAAACGCAUCUUAGCCUCUAAACGUUGCUCUCUGAAUUCAUCCUGUUCACUGCCGAGUUUUUGUGCUCUGAUGCGUUCUUCGUCCAAGCUGCUCGUCACCUGCUCCACCUACGUUCAUUUGCGAAUAAUUUUCUAUUAAAAUCGUUCAUGUUCUACGUGAGUAAAGAAAGGUACAUUUUUUAGAGAGGAACACCGCAUUGCCUCGCCAAAUUUUUAAAUAUCCCGUCUGCAUUGCAUACGUUAAGAACAUCAUUCCAGACGAAUCGGAUAUUAUUGAAAUAACUCGUACGUUACGUCUAUUGCGAUUAAAAGUGUACGGCUGCAUUUAUUGCGGUCAAAUGUCCAUGAGUUGCAUAUUCCUAUUUCUAUAUGCUUGUUAAUUCAUUAUAUAUUCUAUGUAAUGGUAAAAUUGUGGCAAGAUAAUUGUGGGGCUCAAUAUCCCUGUCAUAACGUUUAAACUUUUAUAAAUGUACGUACGUAGAUUCUUUUGACUGAUCGUAGCUACCUGGAAAAAUUAGAAAAUCCUCGAGAAUAACGCAAUUGACACAGAGAAACAAGAGCAAACAUAUUUAUAUAUUUGCUUCUACUACUUCGAAGUAGUGAAAC